rnacentral:rRNA from 1 species
CCCUGAAAAAAUCAAAGGUGAAACCUGCCCAGUGAUUUUUAAUUAAAUAAUAAUAAAAAUAUUUUAAUAAAAUUAAAAGGAUGCGGUAACCUUGACUGUAAUAAUGUAGCAUAAUCACUCGCCAUUUAAUUGAUGGAUAGUAUGAAUGGUUUAACGAAUACUACACUGUCUUAAAAAUAAAUCUCAUGAAAAUGAAAUAAUAGUAAAGAUGCUAUUUAAAAUUGUAAGACGAAAAGACCCUAUAGAGCUUAACUACAAUCUUUUUUACACCUAAAUAAAACAUAAAUUUAUAAAAAUAAAAAGAUAGGUAGUUUAGUUGGGGCGACUGUUUUCUAAAAUAAACGAAAACAAGCAAUAUAAUAAUUUAAUUUACUGUAUAAAAUAUAUAUUUAACAGUUACUAAAGUAGGCUAUAAUGACCCAUUAAUUUUAAAUAAUAAAAAUUAAUGAUUAUUAAAUAAAAGCUACCUUAGGGAUAACAGAAUAAUUUUAUCCAAGAGAUCUUAUCGAAGAUAAAGUUUGUCACCUCUAUGUUGAAUUAAGAUAUCCUAAUAGUGCAGAAGCUAUUAAAGGUAGGUCUGUUCGACCUUUAAAAUCUU